GUGGGGAAUAUUGGACAAUGGGCGCAAGCCUGAUCCAGCCAUGCCGCGUGAGUGAUGAAGGCCCUAGGGUUGUAAAGCUCUUUUGCUCGGGAAGAUAAUGACGGUACCGAGAGAAUAAGCCCCGGCUAACUUCGUGCCAGCAGCCGCGGUAAUACGAAGGGGGCUAGCGUUGUUCGGAAUCACUGGGCGUAAAGCGCACGUAGGCGGACUUUUAAGUCAGAGGUGAAAUCCUGAGGCUCAACCUCAGAACUGCCUUUGAUACUGGGAGUCUCGAGUUCGGGAGAGGUGAGUGGAACUGCGAGUGUAGAGGUGAAAUUCGUAGAUAUUCGCAAGAACACCAGUGGCGAAGGCGGCUCACUGGCCCGAUACUGACGCUGAGGUGCGAAAGCGUGGGGAGCAAACAGGAUUAGAAACCCGAGUAGUCC
rnacentral:rRNA from 1 species